UUUAACACGAAGUGAGUGGCGGACGGGUGAGUAACACGUGGGUAACCUGCCCAGAAGCAGGGGAUAACACCUGGAAACAGAUGCUAAUACCGUAUAACAGAGAAAACCGCCUGGUUUUCUUUUAAAAGAUGGCUCUGCUAUCACUUCUGGAUGGACCCGCGGCGCAUUAGCUAGUUGGUGAGGUAACGGCUCACCAAGGCGAUGAUGCGUAGCCGACCUGAGAGGGUAAUCGGCCACAUUGGGACUGAGACACGGCCCAGACUCCUACGGGAGGCAGCAGUAGGGAAUCUUCCACAAUGGACGCAAGUCUGAUGGAGCAACGCCGCGUGAGUGAAGAAGGGUUUCGGCUCGUAAAGCUCUGUUGUUAAAGAAGAACGUGGGUGAGAGUAACUGUUCACCCAGUGACGGUAUUUAACCAGAAAGCCACGGCUAACUACGUGCCAGCAGCCGCGGUAAUACGUAGGUGGCAAGCGUUAUCCGGAUUUAUUGGGCGUAAAGCGAGCGCAGGCGGUCUUUUAAGUCUAAUGUGAAAGCCUUCGGCUCAACCGAAGAAGUGCAUUGGAAACUGGGAGACUUGAGUGCAGAAGAGGACAGUGGAACUCCAUGUGUAGCGGUGAAAUGCGUAGAUAUAUGGAAGAACACCAUGGCGAAGGCGGCUGUCUGGUCUGUAACUGACGCUGAGGCUCGAAAGCAUGGGUAGCGAACAGGAUUAGAUACCCUGGUAGUCCA
rnacentral:rRNA from 1 species